rnacentral:rRNA from 1 species
AAACCUCAAGUCAAGUAAGAUUACCCGCUGA